CUGCAGUCAAUGAAGUUGCCUGGGUUCCUUGGCUGGUGGGUGCCCAGAGUGCAGUGACUGCAAACUUCAACCUCCUCAGUCAUCUAUGCAGCCUGGUGCUUGUAUGCACUGCCCUAAGGGACCUUAGAGACACUG
ensembl:snoRNA SNORA70 Small nucleolar RNA SNORA70